UACGUAGGGGGCAAGCGUUGUCCGGAAUCAUUGGGCGUAAAGGGCGCGUAGGCGGCCACGCACGUCCGUUGUGAAAUCGCCCGGCUCAACUGGGCGGGGUCAGCGGAUACGGUGUGGCUCGAGCAAGCUAGGGGGCAAUGGAAUUCCCGGUGUAGUGGUGGAAUGCGUAGAUAUCGGGAGGAACACCAGUGGCGAAGGCGGUUGCCUGGAGCUUUGCGUGACGCUGAGGCGCGAAAGCGUGGGGAGCGAUCCGG
rnacentral:rRNA from 1 species